AGAGUUUGAUCAUGGCUCAGGACGAACGCUUGCGGCGUGCCUAAGAAAUGCAAGUCGAGCGGGGUCUUAGACUUCGGUUUAAGACCUAGCGGCGAACGGUCGCGUAACACGUAAGCAACCUGCCCCGAAGACCGGGACAACAUUCCGAAAGGGGUGCUAAUACCGGAUGUGGCCGCUUUGUUGCAUGACAGGAUGAUUAAACCGAGCAAUCGGCUUCGGGAGGGGCUUGCGGCCUAUCAGCUAGUUGGUGGGGUAACGGCCUACCAAGGCGACGACGGGUAGCUGGUCUGAGAGGAUGUCCAGCCGGACUGGGACUGAGAUACGGCCCAGACUCCUACGGGGGGCAGCAAUUAGGAAUCUUGCGCAAUGGGCGAAAGCCUGACGCAGCGACGCCGCGUGGGGGAGGACGCCUUUCGGGGUGUAAACCACUGUUGCCCGGGACGAACAUCCCUUUUCGAGGGGACUGACGGUACCGGGUGAGGAAGCCCCGGCUAACUCCGUGCCAGCCGCCGCGGUAAUUC
rnacentral:rRNA from 1 species